UUAGCUCCUUUCCAAAGAACCAUGAGUUCCCACAUCAGCCAGAAUUACUGCACCGAAGUAGAAGCUGCCGUCAGCAGCCCAGUCAACCGGCAGCUGCGGGCUUGCCUUACCUACCUCUCUCUCAUCCUCCAUUUCCACCGCGACGACGUGGCCCUGGAGGGCAUGGGCCACUUCUUCCGAGAGAUGGCCCAGGAGAAGCGACAGGGCGCCCAGAGUCUGUGGAAGACGCAAAACCAGCGCGGAGCCCUCUGCGAUGCCAUCCAGAAGCCGUCCUAGGAUGAAUAGGACAGCAGUUUGGGCGCCCUGCGAGCCGCGUUGGCCCUGGAGAUGAACCUGAACCAGGCCCUGCUGGAUCUGCACGACCUGGGCGCAAAGCAUGCAGACUCUCACCUCUGUGGCUUCCUGGAAAACCACUUCCUAGGCCGCGAACGGAAACUCAUCCCGACCAGACUCAGCAGGCUGGAGGGGCCCAACCCGCGCUGGGCAGGCCUCUUCCUCCAGCGCAGCAAGGAGCCUGCGGGCCCCCAGGGGCCUUCAAGAGGCCCGCCGGCCACAUCCCUCUGUCAGACCUGGGGCGGCGUCCACCCGAGCUGCUCCCUUCAGCCUCAAGAUACUUUUUCUUUCUUUCUUUCUUUUUGAAAGAGUCUCCCGGCCUGGAGUGUAGUGGUGAUCUCAGCUCACUGCAACCUCCGCCUCCCCGGUUCAAGUGAUUCUCCUGCCUCAGCCUCCCGAGUAGCUGAGAUUACUGGCGCAAGCCACCACCCCUGGCUAAUUUUUGUAUUUUUAAUAGAGACGGGGUUUCACCAUGUCAGCCAGGAUGGCCCCGAACUCCUGACCUCAAGUGAUCCGCCCGCCUCAGCCUCCCAAAGUGCUGGGAUUACAGACGUGAGCCACCGGGCCAGGCCCUCAAGAUAGUUUUUAACCACCCCGUGCCCUUCCCCAAGCUAUGGUCCAAGUAGAAGCAACCCUUCUUUUUACAGAAAAAGAAGUUAAAAAGAGAAAGAGGAAAACCCGCCCACGAAUUCUCAAAACAGCAAACAAAAACCAAAAAGAAAACUGUCAUUGAACAGUUUGCUUUUAAAUUUGUUUUAAUUAAAAUACAUUACACAUUUUCAGGGUGCAUAGAGACUUUUUCAAAAUAUGUUACAAAUAAGGAAUUUCCACAGAAACUUGUAACAACAGUAAAGAACUACUACUCUGCCUGGUCUCCGUUAGGGAGGUUCUCCAACCAAAUUGGUUUCCUUGGAACGUUUGAAACCCAGGCAGUUUGCAAAGUCAUAACUCCUUAUGCAUCAUUCCCUAAGAGAUUGUCUGAGAGUACUCAACAUCUGGAGAAAUUGAAAUAAAGAUUACAAUAAAAUGAAAUAAAUAAAAUGUAUUAUUUACCAACCUACUGCCAGAAAAUGAACCAGGAGACCAAUAGUUAUUCCAAAGAUUGCCAACACUCCAAACACAAGAAGGGCAAUCAUCCAUAGUGACACAGAUGUACGGAAAGCCAU